GAUGAACGCUGACAGAAUGCUUAACACAUGCAAGUCGAUGGGGAAGUGGUGCUUGCACCAUGGUAACCAUGGCGGACGGGUGAGUAACGCGUAAGGAACUUACCUGCGGGACCGGGAUAACAGCAGGAAACUGCUGACAAGACCGGAUAAGGUCAUUAAGCUGCAUAGCUUAGUGAUGAAAGGAGACGCCUGCGGAGAGCCUUGCGUCCUAUUAGCUAGUUGGAGGGGUAACGGCCCACCAAGGCGAAGAUAGGUAGCCGGCCUGAGAGGGUGGACGGCCACAAGGGGACUGAGAUACGGCACUUACUCCUACGGGAGGCAGCAGGGGGGAAUAUUGGACAAUGGGGGCAACCCUGAUCCAGCAAUUCUGUGUGCACGAAGACGGUUUUCGGAUUGUAAAGUGCUUUCAGCAGGGAAGAAGGAAGUGACGGUACCUGCAGAAGAAGCGACGGCUAAAUACGUG
rnacentral:rRNA from 1 species